rnacentral:rRNA from 1 species
AAUAGAUACCCAGGUAGUCCACGCCGUAAACGAUGGAUGCUAGCUGUUAUGAGUAUCGACCCUUGUAGUAACGAAGCUAACGCGUUAAGCAUCCCGCCUGUGGAGUACGAGCGCAAGCUUAAAACAUAAAGGAAUUGACGGGGACCCGCACAAGCGGUGGAGCGUGUUGUUUAAUUCGAUGAUAAGCGAAGAACCUUACCAAGGCUUGACAUCCCUGGAAUUUCUCCGAAAGGAGAGAGUGCCUUCGGGAAUCAGGUGACAGGUGAUGCAUGGCCGUCGUCAGCUCGUGUCGUGAGAUGUUUGGUUAAGUCCAUCAACGAGCGCAACCCUUGUAAAUAGUUGAAUUUUUCUAUUUAGACUGCCUCGGUAACGGGGAGGAAGGAGGGGAUGAUGUCAGGUCAGUAUUUCCCUUACGCCUUGGGCUACAAACACGCUACAAUGGCCGGUACAAAGGGCAGCCAACCCGCGAGGGGGAGCAAAUCCCAUCAAAACCGGUCUCAGUUCGGAUAGCAGGCUGAAAUUCGCCUGCUUGAAGCCGGAAUCGC